UACGGGGGGAGCAAGCGUUGUUCGGAUUUACUGGGCGUAAAGGGCGCGUAGGCGGCGCGACAAGUCACUUGUGAAAUCUCUGGGCUCAACCCAGAACGGUCAAGUGAUACUGUCGUGCUAGAGUGCGGAAGGGGCAACUGGAAUUCUUGGUGUAGCGGUGAAAUGCGUAGAUAUCGUAAGGAAGACCAGUGGCGAAGGCGGGUCUCUGGACAGUUCCUGACGCUGAGGCACGAAGGUCAGGGGAGCAAACGGG
rnacentral:rRNA from 1 species